rnacentral:misc_RNA from 1 species
GUAUUAUAUUGCGUUAAACGCGGUAUGCAUUCCAUGAGACUUUACUACGGUGUGUGUGUGUGUAAAUACAUAGAACCACGGGCAGGGGAACAGAGCCCCCCCAGGCUGCAGAACUAUGGAGGGUGCACAGGUGUGAGUGGAUGUGUAAACAGAGCGUGCACAUGUCCCCAUUUGAGGACCAGCAACAACUCGUGUCGACAAUUCGGUAAUGAUCCUUCCGCAGGUUCACCUACGGAAA